AUUGAACGCUGGCGGCAUGCUUUACACAUGCAAGUCGAACGGUAACAGGGUGCUUGCACCGCUGACGAGUGGCGAACGGGUGAGUAAUGCGUCGGAACGUGCCGAGUAGUGGGGGAUAACGCAGCGAAAGUUGUGCUAAUACCGCAUACGUACUGAGGUAGAAAGUGGGGGACCUUCGGGCCUCACGCUAUUCGAGCGGCCGACGUCUGAUUAGCUAGUAGGUGAGGUAAAGGCUCACCUAGGCGACGAUCAGUAGCGGGUCUGAGAGGAUGAUCCGCCAGACUGGGACUGGGACACGGCCCAGACUCCUACGGGAGGCAGCAGUGGGGAAUUUUGGACAAUGGGCGAAAGCCUGAUCCAGCCAUGCCGCGUGUCUGAAGAAGGCCUUCGGGUUGUAAAGGACUUUUGUCGGGGAGGAAAUCCCCAGCGUUAAUACCGCUGGGGGAUGACAGUACCUGAAGAAUAAGCACCGGCUAACUACGUGCCAGCCGCCGCUGUAA
rnacentral:rRNA from 1 species